rnacentral:rRNA from 1 species
GACGAACGCUGGCGGCGUGCUUAACACAUGCAAGUCGAACGGAAAGGCCCUGCUUUUGUGGGGUGCUCGAGUGGCGAACGGGUGAGUAACGCGUGAGUAACCUGCCCUUGACUUUGGGAUAACUUCAGGAAACUGGGGCUAAUACCGGAUAGGAGCUCCUGCUGCAUGGUGGGGGUUGGAAAGUUUCGGCGGUUGGGGAUGGACUCGCGGCUUAUCAGCUUGUUGGUGGGGUAGUGGCUUACCAAGGCUUUGACGGGUAGCCGGCCUGAGAGGGUGACCGGCCACAUUGGGACUGAGAUACGGCCCAGACUCCUACGGGAGGCAGCAGUGGGGAAUAGUGCACAAUGGGCGGAAGCCUGAUGCAGCAACGCCGCGUGCGGGAUGACGGCCUUCGGGUUGUAAACCGCUUUCGCCUGUGACGAAGCGUGAGUGACGGUAAUGGGUAAAGAAGCACCGGCUAACUACGUG